CAAGAUCUAUUCUUUCCAAUCAUUUCCAUCAUUUUUAAGGGCAUCAGAUACAGGCUGUUCAUGACUAUCUUGAUGGGAAGAGCCAUCAGUAUUUAGCAUUUGUAGCCAGAAGUGUGGAGCAACCAAAGAUGUGGAUCUUGUGCUUUCUUGAUCAAGACCAUUGAUGCGGACCUUAUGUACGGAGCUAGAUCCAGAUGCUUUAGGGAGGAGUUCAAUGAACAUGCUAUUAGACUGAAUGAUGUCUAUAAUUGUCAGAAGAGACUUCAUAUGUGUCGACCAUCAAAUCCCUCGUCACUGUUGAUGCAGUUGAAGAAUGUAGCUGAGAAGGACAAAGGAAGAAUCGGAGUUAACUAACCCAAGUUUAGCUUGUUUGGAAACAUAAGCAUCACAAUGAUAUGCCAAGUAGUUGUAGAAGCGGAUAAAACUAAUAGUCUCCAAGAUUAUUGCAAUUUUAGGUGCUUGAAAUAGUGGAACACGGUUGUUGAUAUACUCAUAUUCAAGUUUGUGUGAAGAAAUACUUUUAACAGUUGUGGACCAA